UACGUAGGGUGCGAGCGUUGUCCGGAAUUACUGGGCGUAAAGAGCUCGUAGGUGGUUUUGUCGCGUUGUUCGUGAAAACCGGGGGCUUAACCCUCGGCGUGCGGGCGAUACGGGCAGACUUGAGUACUGCAGGGGAGACUGGAAUUCCUGGUGUAGCGGUGGAAUGCGCAGAUAUCAGGAGGAACACCGGUGGCGAAGGCGGAUCUCUGGGCCUUACCUGACGCUCAGGCGCGAAAGCUAGGGGAGCGAACUGG
rnacentral:rRNA from 1 species